GUCCCGGAUGGCGCAGUGGUUAUCGCAUCUGCCUCGUAAGCAGGAGGUCCCGGGUUCGACUCACGGUCCGGUACA